rfam:Danio rerio chromosome 13 genomic contig CTG1270, GRCz11 reference primary assembly.
UUUAUCCUCUUUUGUAAGUCGCUUUAGAUAAAAGCGUCUGCUAAACGGCAUGUG